GUGGGCGUAGCUCAGUGGUAGAGCGCCUCGCUGUGGCCGAGGCUACGGGGGUUCGAUUCCCCUCGCUCACC
rnacentral:tRNA from 1 species